AACUGAUUUGGUCCAAGAUAUUACGACACAUACACCAAACCAGUUUUCAGCAGAACUUCAACAGACUCCACAGAUUUGAGUUAAAGCCUCAAAUCCCGUCUGUCUCCAUCCUCCCAUCACUCAGCAGCCUCACAGGAAGCAACGGAAGAGAAGCUCAGAAAUGACAAGUUCAGUGGAAAAAGACGAUUGAAAUAAAGUUCAUGAAGUGAGAUUCAACUGAGAAAACGUGAACAACAACAUGUGUAGGAAAUGUAAAACCAACUGGUCCAAUGUUUCAGGAAUCUCAGAGAAUUUGGAGUCAUUUGAAUAUGAACGUUGAUGCUGUCAUGUGGCUUUUCAGACAAUAUCUUACAAGACACUUUAUUGUUCAGAAAUGUGUCACAAGUACAAGAAAGAAACAGAAAGUUGAACCCAAUAACAGGUUUGUGUGUUUGAGCUGAAAGCUGCAGAAUCAACAGACGUGUGGUUUAGGUGUUGGUAACAAGCAGUGAUAUGAGAGGACGGACAGAGAGGGAGGAGCAACACUGUCAAAGAGCAGAGCAGAAAAGACCUCCUGCUGUGCUGCAUUCAAUAUCUACACCAGACAUCAGAUAGUGUCUGUAAGAUGUUCCCUCUGCGUCACGCUGGAGUCUGGCCUUUGUUUCUCUUCAUCCUGAAAGGUGUCAGCUGUGAAAAACUGCCUCCAGACCAGACUGCAGAGUUCAGUGUAGAAGGCAGCACUGUUACUCUGUCCUACAACGUCUCCAGGCCAAUAACUGGUACUGAUCAUUUCUUCUGGUAUCGACAGUAUCCAGGACAAGCACCAGAGUUCCUCCUGUACAUCUCAGGGUUCAAUGUGACAAGAAUGUCAGAUUCUCUGAAGUCAGAAACAAGGUUCUCCACUCACCUGUCUGGAAAUGAUGUCAAACUGCAGAUCUCCUCUGCUGCAGUGACAGACUCUGCUGUGUACUACUGUGCUGUGAAGCCCACGUUUGUAGGAUAUUUCUUAAAUGUGUGGUGUACCACAGGGUUCAAUGCUGGGUCCUCUCAUCUUCAGUUUACAUGUUGA